AGUGACCGCCCCAGGCCGGGCCAGGGCCCGAGUCUCCCAGCCCGAGGGGGCAGGAGGGAGCCGGGGCAGAGACUGGCAGGGGCAGCAGGAGCAAUGGGAGGAGGGAGAUUCCUGGCUCCCAGCCCCGCCCAGCCCCAUUCCCUGCAGCCCCCCCGGGGCAGUGACUGCCCUGGGGAAAAGGGGAGAAGGGGGGGCAGGGAGAGGAAAAGCCCGUUCCUGCCUCUGCCUGGUCCCGCGCUGCUGGGGGACACGCUGCCCUGGGGACAGGGUCACGAGGAUCCCCCAAAGAGGCACCUUUGAUUCUGCUCUUCGGGUGCACAAUUUUAUCCUUUUCAGUUGUUUAUAAAGGGCUGAACGUCACUGGAUGGACCUUGGCUCUGAGCCCGUCUGGCAGCAGUGCCUACGUUCAUCUUCAGGGUAGAAAGCCUCUGUCCAGAGCAAAUUUGUUUUGGAAACAGAUUAAAAAGCACCACUUAGCCUCAUUUUGAGCAAGGGGGAAACAACCCUUUUACCAUUAUUUUUAAAAAGUGUUAUCAACUUUUGAACUAAUUCGGUAGCAGAAGGAUUUAGGCUGGUAACUUUACAUUUGACGCAGAGAGAAUUCCUAGGUCAGACAGUCUCGUCUCUCAGCUCUGGUUAAAAACGACCUGUGAUGUGUGUUUUCUGAGGGUUCAAUAACUCUCCGUUUUGCACACACACUGAUUCCUUCUUCCAUUUGUAGGAGUUCCCAUUUCCAGACCUGACGUGAUCUCCUGGCUGGAGUGAAGGGAGGAGCUGUGGGUCCCCAGUCUCCGGGGAGAGGAGGAAAGAGAGAUACUGAGAGAUGCCUGCACAGCAGAGGGCGUGACGUGAACUGGAUUAUCUCUGUGUCUCUGGAACAGUGAGUGAGACCGAGGAAAAGAAUCCUCAGCUGGGAGUCCGGAGCAGGGGGAACCACACAGGACAGUUUGGGGAGAUCGUAGGAGACUCAGCCCAGGCCAUGCGGGCACCAGGGAAAAGAGACAGGGCCGACACGAGGUAAAU